rnacentral:lncRNA from 1 species
UUGAGGACACAAUCAGUUUGUUGAAGCUGGGAGCUGAUAGAGGGAUGGUAAUGGUUGUUGAUUUUGAUGAAGUGAUUAAGAUAAGAAAAGAGAGGAGAAAGAGAAGCAGAGAAGAAGCCAUGAAAGUAUUGUUUUCUUCUUUUUCUUCUUCUACUUCUUCCUGGUUAUGAUUAGUGAGGGAAUUUGUAAAGAUAAGAAAGUAGAAAGUUUUUGUUCUAUACUUGGAGUGAUUGUUUGUUUAUAGGGGAAGAAACCAAGAAGGGGAGUAACGGUAGACAAGACGAAUCAAGUUCGAUUUUGGUGAUAGAAUUGCCUAAUAUAAUGUCC